AGGUUGCAAUCCUUGUGUGACCCUUCCUGGAACCCUUCUCUCAUUCAGAGCUAGUAGUUACAGGAAGAAGAGAGAAGGAAGAGGAGGAGUAAAAACAGGUAUGAAGGCUUCUGAGCCUCCAGGUACUGGAAGCAGAGAGAUAGGUCAAUGAUACAAAAUGGAAAAACCAGAAACAGACUGGAAGAAAACAUUUGCAAAAUAUGUAUCUGGAAAAGGAUGUGAAUCCCAAAUAUAUAAUUCAUUUUUAAACUCAGUUGUAAGAUAAUCAACCUAUUAAAAAGAAAUGUGCAAAAAUGUGAGCAGCAUUUUACCAAAUAUGUUGGUGUGUGUGUGUGAUACAUAAGCAUGUGGAAAAAUACUCAACAUUAUUAAUCAUCUGAAAAAUACAAACUAAACCCUAAGAAUACAUCAUCACAUGGUUGUUAACAUAGCUAAAAUUACAAAGUUUGUUAAUAUCUAGAGUUGUUGAAAGUGUGGAUCAACUGGACCUCUCAUUCAUUGUUGGUGGGAAUAUAAAAUGCAACACUCUAUUGGGAAAUAAAUAGUUCGGCAGUUUCCUAUUAAGUUAAAUAUACACUUAUAAACAGCCAGUGAUUCAACUCCCAGAUAUUUACCCAGGAGAUAUGAAAAAUAUCCAUACAGAGCUUAUAUCCACACGAAACUUACAUUCCCCACAAUGGAAAAAAAAAAUCUUUGCUUUAGAUCUAGUUAUUACAGAAAGUCUGUAUAAAAAUGCUUUAACUUAAAGCUUGAUUGGCAGGAAGAAGCAAGCCAUGCCGAAGCUAGGAAAAACAAACACUAAACGAGUAGCUGGCACAAAAGCUCUAAGACGGAAACAAAUGUGGCUAGGAAGAAAGCUAAUAUUUCUUUAGAAGAAUUAAUUAAGAUGGUUAUGGCAGGCAGUGAAAUUUUCAAGAAAUAGGGAAGCCAUACCAAAGAAAAUUCUAAAGCCCAGUUGUAGAAUUAAAAAUCAAUCAUCAGUAUUUUCCAACAACGGUGUAACUAAAAAUAUUAUAAGUAACAAACAACAGUAUUCUGACUUUACAAAUAUCCAAAUUGUGUGUUUAUAUUAUAAUUCCUUCUCUAUGUAUACAAUGUAAGACCUCCCUGUAUCUUAAGAGGCAAUGAUGUUAAUAUCAAUAUGGUCAGAAAUAACUUGACUGGUAUAUAAUUAAUUGUCCAAUCUAGUUGGGCCUGGUGGUUUACACCUGAAAUCCCAGCACUUCGGGAAGCCGAGGCAGGUAGAUUACUUGAGCCCAGCAGUUCAAGACCAGUCUAAGCAACAUGGCAAAACUCCAUUUCUACAAAAAAUACAAAAAUUAGCCUAGUUGGGCAUGGUGGUGUGUGCUUGUAAUUCCAGCUACUCAGGAGAUUGAGGUGGAAAAAUCAACUGAGCCCAGGAAGUUGAAGCUGUAGUGAGUCAUGAUUGCUCUACUGUACUUCACCUUGAACGACAGGGUGAGAACCUGUCUCAAAAAAAAAAAAAAAGUUCAUUCUAAUACUAUUCUAUUUUGCUCUUUGGGGUAUAUUUUAUGUUUCAUAGUUUAUUAUUUUUCCCUCCAGGAGUUCAAUGGUUUUCUUCUUGACCUAAGGUCAAUCCACUUUUACCAUAUUCUUAUCAUCUAGUGCAGAGAAUCUCCCUUUUUGUCAAAGCACUCUAAUUGUUGCUUUUCAUUUGUUUCAGAAUGAAUGUUUUCUAUAUGCCUGCUGCAAUGCAUAUCUUUUCCUGUGGCUUAUUUUCCUCGAACUCACGGAUUAGAGUUUCUCUUCUAUAUUCUUUGUUUGCAGUUUUCUUCCUUAUUUGCUAUAAUUCACCUUCAAUUAACUUGUUUGGCUAAAGUAUGUGAAAACAAAACCUUUGGAAUUCUUGCACAUGCAAAAAUACUUCUACUAUGCUCUCACAUAUGUUUGUAUAAUAUGUAUAAUUGUUUAUUAUACAUAUUGAUUAAAGAUUUAAAAUUGCUUUCUA